GAUGAAGAACGUAGCGAAAUGCGAUACGUAAUGUGAAUUGCAGAAUUCAGUGAAUCAUCGAAUCUUUGAACGCAUAUUGCGCUCUCUGGUAUUCCGGAGAGCAUGCUUGUUUGAGUAUCAGUAAACACCUCAACUCCCCUUUCUUUUUUUGAAAUGGGAGCUGGACUUGAGUGAUCCCAACGCUUUUCUCACCGAAAAGUGGCGGGUUACUUGAAAUGCAGGUGCAGCUGGACUUUUCUCUGAGCUAAAAGCAUAUCUAUUUAGUCUGCCUAAAAAACAGAUUAUUACCUUUGCUGCAGCUAACAUAAAGGAGAUUAGUUCUUGUGCUGACUGAUGCAGGAUUCACAGAGACAGCUUCGGCUGGCCUUUGUAAACUCGAUCUCAAAUCAAGUAAGACUACCCGCUGAACUUAAGCAUAUCAAUAAACGGAGGA
rnacentral:misc_RNA from 1 species